rnacentral:rRNA from 1 species
AUUGAACGCUGGCGGCAUGCUUUACACAUGCAAGUCGAACGGCAGCACGGGGGCAACCCUGGUGGCGAGUGGCGAACGGGUGAGUAAUAUAUCGGAACAUAUCCGGAAGUGGGGGAUAACGUAGCGAAAGUUACGCUAAUACCGCAUAUGCCCUGAGGGGGAAAGGGGGGGAUUCGUAAGAACCUCUCGCUUUCGGAGUGGCCGAUACCGGAUUAGCUAGUAGGUGAGGUAAAGGCUCACCUAGGCGACGAUCCGUAGCUGGUCUGAGAGGACGACCAGCCACACUGGAACUGAGACACGGUCCAGACUCCUACGGGAGGCAGCAGUGGGGAAUUUUGGACAAUGGGCGAAAGCCUGAUCCAGCCAUGCCGCGUGAGUGAAGAAGGCCUUCGGGUUGUAAAGCUCUUUCAGCCGGAAAGAA